rnacentral:rRNA from 1 species
GACGAACGCUGGCGGCGUGCUUAACACAUGCAAGUCGAACGGAAAGGCCCUGCUUUUGUGGGGUGCUCGAGUGGCGAACGGGUGAGUAACACGUGAGUAACCUGCCCUUGACUUUGGGAUAACUUCAGGAAACUGGGGCUAAUACCGGAUAGGAGCUCCUGCUGCAUGGUGGGGGUUGGAAAGUUUCGGCGGUUGGGGAUGGACGCGCGGCUUAUCAGCUUGUUGGUGGGGUAGUGGCUUACCAAGGCUUUGACGGGUAGCCGGCCUGAGAGGGUGACCGGGGACAUUGGGACUGAGAUACGGACCAGACUCCUACGGGAGGCAGCAGUGGGGAAUAUUGCACAAUGGGCGGAAGCGUGAUGCAGCAACGCCGCGUGCGGAAUGACGGCCUUCGGGUUGUAAACAGCUUUCGCCUGUGACGAAGCGUGAGUGACGGUAAUGGGUAAAGAAGCACCGGCUAACUACGUG